GAUGAAGAACGUAGCGAAAUGCGAUACUUGGUGUGAAUUGCAGAAUCCCGUGAACCAUCGAGUCUUUGAACGCAAGUUGCGCCCGAAGCCAUUAGGCCGAGGGCACGCCUGCCUGGGCGUCACACGUCGUUGCCCCCCCAUCUACUCCUUCGGGAUUGCGGGGGGCGGAUGAUGGCCUCUCGUGCGCCUCGUCGCGCGGUUGGCCUAAAUGCCAAGUCCUCGGCGACGCACGCCACGACAAUCGGUGGUUGCGAAACCUCGGUUGCCUGUCGUGUGCGGUCGUCGCGCAUCGAGGGCUCGAAAAAAUUGCCGGGCUUCGGCUCGACUUUCAACGCGACCCCAGGUCAGGCGGGGUUACCCGCUGAAUUUAAGCAUAUCAAUAAGCGAGG
rnacentral:misc_RNA from 1 species